GACGAACGCUGGCGGCGUGCUUAACACAUGCAAGUCGAACGGAAAGGCCCUGCUUUUGUGGGGUGCUCGAGUGGCGAACGGGUGAGUAACACGUGAGUAACCUGCCCUUUACUUUGGGAUAACUUCAGGAAACUGGGGCUAAUACCGGAUAGGAGCUCCUGCUGCAUGGUGGGGGUUGGAAAGUUUCGGCGGUUGGGGAUGGACUCGCGGCUUAUCAGCUUGUUGGUGGGGUAGUGGCUUACCAAGGCUUUGACGGGUAGCCGGCCUGAGAGGGUGACCGGCCACAUUGGGACUGAGAUACGGCCCAGACUCCUACGGGAGGCAGCAGUGGGGAAUAUUGCACAAUGGGCGGAAGCCUGAUGCAGCAACGCCGCGUGCGGGAUGACGGCCGUCGGGUUGUAAACCGCUUUCGCCUGUGACGAAGCGUGAGUGACGGUAAUGGGUAAAGAAGCACCGGCUAACUACGUG
rnacentral:rRNA from 1 species